rnacentral:rRNA from 1 species
CUCCUUUGACGUUAGCGGCGGACGGGUGAGUAACACGUGGGUAACCUACCUAUAAGACUGGGAUAACUUCGGGAAACCGGGGCUAAUACCGGAUAAUAUUUCGAACCGCAUGGUUCGNAUAGUGAAAGGUGGUUUUGCUAUCACUUAUAGAUGGACCCGCGCCGUAUUAGCUAGUUGGUAAGGUAACGGCUUACCAAGGCGACGAUACGUAGCCGACCUGAGAGGGUGAUCGGCCACACUGGAACUGAGACACGGUCCAGACUCCUACGGGAGGCAGCAGCC